UACGGGGGGAGCAAGCGUUGUUCGGAUUUACUGGGCGUAAAGGGCGCGUAGGCGGUUAGCACAAGUCAGUUGUGAAAUCUCCGGGCUUAACCCGGAAAGGUCAACUGAUACUGUGCGGCUAGAGUGCGGAAGGGGCAACUGGAAUUCUCGGUGUAGCGGUGAAAUGCGUAGAUAUCGAGAGGAACACCUGCGGCGAAGGCGGGUUGCUGGGCCGACACUGACGCUGAUGCGCGAAAGCCAGGGGAGCGAACGGG
rnacentral:rRNA from 1 species